rnacentral:rRNA from 1 species
UACAGAGGUGGCAAGCGUUGUUCGGAAUUACUGGGCGUAAAGGGCGUGUAGGCGGCCUUCUAAGUCAGACGUGAAAUCCCCCGGCUUAACCUGGGAACUGCGUCUGAUACUGGGAGGCUCGAGUAUGGGAGAGGGAUGUAGAAUUCCAGGUGUAGCGGUGAAAUGCGUAGAUAUCUGGAGGAAUACCGGUGGCGAAGGCGGCAUCCUGGACCAUUACUGACGCUGAAUCGCGAAAGCUAGGGGAGCAAACGGG